UGUGCAAUCCAGGCUAGAGUACCCAUGGCAAGUAAUAGUUUCUUUGCCGUCUUGUAUCUUGAAAAGCCUUUUGCAACAGAAAAAAUGUUUUUAAGUCUGGCCCUUUAAGAGUUGCCUCCUCCCUUCAGGGGGAGUGGUUACUUUUGGGCGUGGUAUCACUAGGCAGAUUAGUUGCACUCAGCACUGCUCUCAAAAUGGUUACUUUUCACAGUCACACAGGCUUUUGAAAUGUAUGCAGGCCCAACUUAUCUGAAACCUCCAGUUGCUUCCUUUUCCCAAAUUCUUAACAAAAAUAGGUUGGAAAACCUACCUGGCUCACCAAAAACUGUAAUAUUUAUUGGGAAAGGAAAUAGGAUUGGGAAAAAUGGGGAUAAAUGGGAGGUUUCUAUGGGGUGUCGGAGGAGAGAGGAGCUUGUUCAGCCCAGUCUGGAGCGGCACACUCUUCGUGGUUCAGCUAGAAGAUUCAGGCCCAGGAUUCUGAAGACAAUACAUAUCGGGCAGCAUAUUGCUAAAUAGGACA
rnacentral:lncRNA from 1 species